rnacentral:rRNA from 1 species
AACGUAGGGGGCGAGCGUUAUCCGGAAUUACUGGGCGUAAAGCGCGUGCAGGCGGCUUGGUAGGUUGGACGUGAAAGCUCCUGGCUUAACUGGGAGAGGUCGUUCAAAACCGCCAGGCUUGAGGACGGAAGAGGGGAGUGGAAUUCCCGGUGUAGUGGUGGAAUGCGUAGAUAUCGGGAGGAACACCUGUGGCGAAAGCGGCUCCCUAGUCCGUAUCUGACGCUCAGACGCGAAAGCGUGGGGAGCGAACGGG